CUCGGUGCCCAUGGCGCUAGGGAAACACCUGUUCCCAUCCCGAACACAGAAGUUAAGCCUAGCAGCGGUUACAAUACUUGGGUUUUAGCCCUGGGAAAAUAGCACGGUGCCGAUU
rfam:Bacterium G20 isolate G20 NODE_23_length_5796_cov_7421.78, whole genome shotgun sequence.